rnacentral:rRNA from 1 species
UACAGAGGGUGCAAGCGUUGUUCGGAAUUAUUGGGCGUAAAGGGUGCGUAGGCGGUGCGGUAAGUCUCUUGUGAAAUCUCCAGGCUCAACCUGGAGCCUGCAAGGGAAACUGCCGUGCUUGAGUGUGGGAGAGGUGAGUGGAAUUCCCGGUGUAGCGGUGAAAUGCGUAGAUAUUGGGAAGAACACCGGUGGCGAAGGCGGCGACCUGGUCCGAUACUGACGCUGAGGCGCGAAAGCGUGGGGAGCAAACAGG